AUUGAACGCUGGCGGCAGGCUUAACACAUGCAAGUCGAGCGGUAACAGAGAGAAGCUUGCUUCUCUGCUGACGAGCGGCGGACGGGUGAGUAAUGCCUAGGAAUCUGCCUAGUAGUGGGGGAUAACUUGCCGAAAGGUAAGCUAAUACCGCAUACGUCCUACGGGAGAAAGGAGGGGACCUUCGGGCCUUUCGCUAUUAGAUGGACCUGGGUCGGAUUAGGUAGUUGGUGAGGUAAUGGCUCACCAAGACCGCGAUCCGUAACUGGUCUGAGAGGAUGAUCAGUCACACUGGAACUGAGACACGGUCCAGACUCCUACGGGAGGCAGCAGUGGGGAAUAUUGGACAAUGGGGGGAACCCUGAUCCAGCCAUGCCGCGUGUGUGAAGAAGGUCUUAGGAUUGUAAAGCACUUUAGGUUGGGAGGAAGAGCAGUUAACUAAUAUUUGACUGUUUUGACGUUACCGACAGAAUAAGCACCGGCUAACUUCGUGCCAGCCGCCGCCGUAA
rnacentral:rRNA from 1 species